rnacentral:rRNA from 1 species
UACGAAGGGGGGCUAGCGUUGCUCGGAAUGACUGGGCGUAAAGGGCGCGUAGGCGGUUUGGUUAGUUAGGCGUGAAAUUCCUGGGCUCAACCUGGGGGCUGCGCUUAAUACAGCCAGACUAGAGUGUGAAAGAGGGUCGUGGAAUUCCCAGUGUAGAGGUGAAAUUCGUAGAUAUUGGGAAGAACACCGGUGGCGAAGGCGACUUCCUGGCCUGUUCUUGACGCUGGAGGC